ensembl:lncRNA
UGACUCAGGAUUUCAGAGAAUCGAGUCAGCUGUGAUCUUGAGUUUUAAGGAGUCAGUGUGUCCCCUCCCCUCAUAGCACCCGUGCCCACUUGGCCCCCGUAUCAGGCGAAGCAUGGAAGGCUGGACAGCCCAUGACGGGUAAGAUCCCACCUCGAAACCCUGGGACAACCUAAGGCAAGGCGCAGUCACGAUUGCUUGAACCUAGGUCCCUAAGUGAGCUUGGACUCACUGGAGGAGACGGGACUUCAAGGGUAAAGCCGCUGGGGCAGAGGGGGAAAUGUCAUUAACAAUGACGAGUGAUGGGCCAAAGAGGGGAGACACUCACUGUCUUUCAGGGUGAAUUGUUCCCUGAACCUGAAAUCAAGCUCUAACUUCUGGCUGAGGACAAGGAAUGUUGUUAUUUAAGGAGGGAGAUCAAAUUUGGGAAAGAGAAAAACUGACUGUUUAAGUGGAACCUUGUGAGGGAGUCUGAAAAAACCACGAAAAGAAACAUAUACACAAUCAUACACACAAAUAGAAAAUGCAUUAGCCUUAGAAUACAAAAGAGCUCAUGAAGAUCAGAUAGCAGGUUUAGCAUAGGAGUCUGUUUAUCAUCUUGUCCAACUCGCUUAGUGUGUAGUAAGUUUUCAGGAGAGAAAAUUUAGAAUUUAGUGUUGAUGGUGUGCAAGUUGUGUGGUGUUUAACGAGAUUUUCUGUGUUUUGAGCAGGUGAAAUUAUGUUAAGUUGACCUGAGAGUGUCAGGACCCUGAAGAACUUGUGGCAAAAUGUUCUGUGUUUAAGAUUGUUGAGGUUGUUGUUGUAGUGAUGGGUUAUUUCUAUCGGUUAGAUUUGUGUUGUUUUCUUAUUUUAAUAGAGGGAGUUUUAUCAAACAUGCACAUGUCUAAGGGGGUCCAUCAUUUUUGUAACAGUGCACUUAGAAAAACCUGUCAGGUGAUUUUGUUUUGUGUUUUGAUGAGCUAAUAAUCAGCUCUCUUUUUCUCAUUUUUGUUCUAAGCAGGCCUGCAAAAGAGUGGAUAACAGCGCUGAAAAUUCUCGGUGACCUUCUCCAGAUUACAAUGGGCAGAGGAGAAGGCUAAGUCUCUGUCUAAAAGGAUUGCCGCGAGCCAAUCCAGUCUAAAAGCAGAAAGAAUUAUUUCCCUAAAAACAAAGUAAAACAAAUAAAUGAGUUGAUGUUGCUGAGAGUGAAGACUGAAUAUUUGCGAGAUAGUCUCCACUGUCAGCAAUACCUGAUGUUAAUGUAUGUGAGUGAAUGUGUGUAAAUGGAUGGUGACUGGACGGACGAGGCAGACCAU